rnacentral:rRNA from 1 species
CUAGUUCUGACCGUAAACGAUGCCAACUAGCGAUCCGCCGGUGGCUACCAGGCCCUGGUGGGGAGCUUCCCGAAAACGAAAGUCUUCCGGUUCCGGGGGAAGUAUGGUUGCAAAGCUGAAACUUAAAGGAAUUGACGGAAGGGCACCACCAGGAGUGGAGCCUGCGGCUUAAUUUGACUCAACACGGGAAAACUCACCCGGCCCGGACACCGUAAGGAUUGACAGAUUGAUAGCUUUUUCAUGAUUCGGUGGUUGGUGGUGCAUGGCCGUUCUUAGUUCGUGGAUCGAUUU